UUUUUCAGUAUGCAGUGGUACAAUUCGAUAAUUUGCAUUUUUCAGUAGUUCCAACAGGUUGGUUGGAAGAACCAAAUCAUUGUUAUUGGCCCGAAGGCAUGAAAAAUAUCAGAACUGCAAUAAUUAAAGAUAUAACAAUAAAGAAACAUUGGAGUAAACAUAAAUGUGAUAUUUUCAGUAAGCAUAAUACUUAUGAAUCAGCUUUGAAAGCCGAAAAAGAGGCUGCCGCUUCGUCUGAAUCAGAACGUGAAGUAAGACCAGGAAAAAGAAAAAUUAAAAACAACAAACUUGAAGACUAUGUUGAUUAUCCUGGCCCUCCAAAACUGCUUUUGUUACACAAAGAAUUUAAUAAGUCCAAUACCGCGAGUUCUUCAGAAGAAAACAGCUACACUUUUGCAAUAGAUACUGUAGAGAUUGCAUAUUAGUAGCGAUAAUGAUAGUAUAACGAAUCAUAUUACUGAUGACAUACCAGUAAUAAUUACUCAGGAGACAAAUGUUAAUGCAAAGAAUAUAAUUCAUGUCAUGAAUGACAUUACAAAUAUAACAAGAAAUAUUGAAGCUACAAUGGAAAGUUUAAAAAAAAAAACAGGAAAAAUCUCUCUCAGAAAUUCAGGCAACCAUUAAUAUAAUUCUGGCAAAAAUAAAUAAUGAACAAUAUGAUAAGGAAAAUUUUAUACUACAAGAUAAUAAAAUUAAGUAAUAUCUUCCUUUAGUUUGCACUGAAAAUUUUCUCCAGUUUGAAAA